rnacentral:lncRNA from 1 species
AUGUGCUGUUCUGACCCAAUUUAUACCAAAAUGGGUCUUCUGAGGCUCAGAAAUCUUGCGAGCAUGUCACUAUUUCAACUGGAAGUAAAUAGCAUGACUAUUGCUAAUAAUAAGAUCAUUCCAAAGCCAUAUUUAUAUACUUCAUUCAGUACCUUGUUCCUUGCUUUUUUUUUUUUUUUUUUUAAGAUUUUAUUUACUUAUUUGAGAAAGAGAACACAAGUUGGGGAGGGGGGUGGGGUGGGGGUGAGUUAGGAAGGACAAGAUUUAAAGGAGGAUGACCUACCUAAUAUUCAAGGCAAAGAGCCUACCAUUUGAGAGAGCUAUCUCAACAUUUGAGACAAAUGACCAGACUUUCAUUUUAAGUCAGAUUUCCAAAUGGCUGAAUUCGUUUAUAAACCGUAAUGAUCAAGAUUUUAUUUUUUAAAAAGAUUUUAUUUAUUUAUGUGAGAGAGAGAAAUCACAAGAAGGGCGAAGGGGAGAGGGAGAAGGAGAAGCAGGCUCCCGCUGUGCAAGGAGCCUGAUGCGGGGCUCAAUCCCAGGACCCUGGGAUCAUGACCUGAGCCGAAGGCAGACGUUUAUCCGACUGAGCCACCAGGCACCUCCAAGAUUUUAAACAGACUCAGGAAAUCUAAUCAUGUGAACUAUGUAUGCUCAGAUACAUCAGAACAGAGGCUCUCCAUGAGUCAACUGACUAUCUCUGGGCUAUGAUGCUUUAAAACCAGUCUAGAAUUUUCCACUUUUUGAUUUGGGAUAUAAAUUCUCUCAUUGAGUUUACUAUGAAUGGGAGCCCUUGGACAUCACUCUGCUGUGAUGUCCGAUAUUGCAUAUACACUACCUUUGUACCUCCUAUAAAGUACUGUAGGCUGAUGUCUACCUAAGAGGAAAGACGAUGCCUCCAAAAUAGUAGAGGCUUUUUUCAUUCAAAAUCUAUAAGUUCUUAGCGCUCAGGUCAAGAUCCCUCAUUUUCAAACAAAGCUGAUGAAGAAAGAGAAAAGAGAAACAAAAACUUAAGACACGGCGAUACCCAUUCUAUAGGUCCUUGAGAUUUGGGUGAGUACAGAGAAAAUAAUGGAUGAUAAAAGUGCUGUGAGAUCACUGGCCUAGUUAUCAAAGGUAUUAUUAUUAAUAAUACUAAUGCUCUUAGAUGCAGGUUCUGUUUUAGUCAUUCUCUUCCCCUAGUGAGAAUUAAGAGAAGUGAAUUAGGAGAACUUCUCCUGCUCCUCCCUCUUUUCUCUCUUCCCUCUUUUUUUGGUCUCAGGGUCACAUAGGCUCUCAUGCCUGGCACCUGUGCUUGGACUAAACAGUACAAAAGUGUCCACGAGGUACGACUUAUGCCACGUGGCUGCUCUCAGAGCUCCGGCUCCCGCACGUAACACCGCUCCUAACAGGGGCUCCCGCGUAGACUGGAACCCGGUGCUCCUCGGGCAGCUCUGUGGAAUCAUGAGACACUUGCUCUACCUACUUGGCUGACUCCAAGUUUAGGACGGUCUUUGGUCUUUUUAACAAGAGAAACGACUGUCCGCCAAAAUGAAUGGCUAAGAUGCACCAAAUCAAAUAAUGUCCUUAAUUGGAAAGAUGAGGAAGAAAAGAACAAGCCGGACUUAGUGUCCCUUUAACUGCAGCUCUGCAACAGAACCCUGGUGCUGGAUGAGGAAACAGCACACAGCCUUCCAACCUUUUGAUCCUUGCUGUUGAGGACAAGAAUUUGAUCUUUAGGUCAGUGUUUGGAGGGUUUCAAAAUGAGUGACCUGGGAAGUCCCCAGCCAGCAGCUAGCACUUCCUCACUCCAAGAACGUGUGGCUUUUCCUGGCAGGGGGCUGGUGUCUCCAGUUCAGUCUCUUUGAGCACCGCGUGCAGCAGGGAUGAGAAAACAGAACAGUUAACAGAAGAAAUUCUAAAUAUUCAAAGCUGCAUUGAACAGGUAGAACCCCUUGUUUUCUUUAUCAAAUUUGAAAAUAUGUGUUCGAGAAAACUCUUUGUAAAGUAGGUUUUUAAAAAAGGUCAUCUUCAAAACCAGUUUUCCGUAGGAGUGAUGUUUACCUUAAACUCUAAACAUUAUAAAAGUUGGAGUGAUGUUUACCUUAAACUCUAAACAUUUACCAGUUGACAGCAUUAGAAUCUUCUAUAAUUUAAAAAUCAAAUAGGGAAGAAAACAAAGUCUCGUCUCCAUACUGCUUAGGCCUUCAUAUUGGUGAUGAAGAGUACGUGGUGAUAGGAUGUGUUGGCAAGAGGUUAAAUUUAUAAAAGUGUAAAUAAAGGGAAGAAAUCCAUUUUACUAAUGCUGCAUGGCGGGAACUUGCCAGUGACAAUGUUUGCCACAUUUUCUUCCAGAAACCAGGAAACACAAGGAGAUGAAGUCAGCGUAAAAGUCAAAAGCAUAUGAAAAGUAAACAGACACAUUGGGCAGCCUCUGUAUCUCUGUAACUUCCAGAGAAGAGCCCAAGCAUAACAUAAGGGAACAAGUCACCUGGGUACUCACCUAGCAGUGCAGGCCAUGGACCUACUAGGUCAGAGAGCCUCAAGAAGGAAGGAGUGACAAUCCUUGCACCAGCCCAAGCCGCGUGUCUGGGGUGUCAUGUCGUUUGCAGCAGGAAUCCCUCUUCCACGGGGAGCUUUUAAGGAGCAGCUCCGUUCCAAAACAGGGUUUUCCAAAUUGCCUCUCUCUCUAGGCUUCCCCAAGGGCCAGGCAUUAGGAGAACUUGCCUGCGGUACCUGUAAAGGAAAAGGAAAAUAACAGAGGCCCUAAAAUGAAAGUAAGCAACUCAGUUUGAAAAUUUUUUCAACAGAAGUAAAGAUCCUUGUUGUUGAAUUAUUUCAGCUUCACACUUAAGAACCAAGGAGACUGGGGCGCCUGGCUGGUUCAUUCAAGAGCAUGUGACUCUUGAUCUUGGAGUCAUGAGUUCAAGCCCCACGUUGGGUGUAGAGAUUACCUAAAUAAACAAAAUAAAAAAAAAAAAAAAAGAGAAUCAAGGAGACAAAAAUUCCUUAUCGAAUAUCUGAACUUCUACUUUGAAUUCCUUCAUAUCAGAACGAAUUAAAAAAAUAACUCUAUGCAUGAAAAAUUAUAUUUCAUAUGGAUUUUACUAGAGCUCUAAACAACAAUGCCUUUUUCAAAUGGAUAAAGAAAAAUAAUCUUAAAGAAGCGCUCCUGGGACGCCUGGGUGGCUCAGUCAGUUAAGCAUCUGCCUUCGGCUCAGAUCAUGAUCCUCGGGUCCUAGGAUUGAGCUUCUCCCUCUGCCCCUCCCCCUGCUCAUGCUCUCUCUCAAAUAAAUAAAUAAAAUCUUUAAAAAAAUAAUAGUAAUCUUAUGAGUGACCACUAUGUGCACACCAUAUAGUCUCUAAUACUCACAAAAUCCACUGAGAUAGCAUUGUCUCCAAU